rnacentral:rRNA from 1 species
UUCGUAUGUCGGAUGUGAAAGCCCGGGGCUCAACCCCGGAACUGCAUUCGAAACUGCGGGACUAGAGUACAGGAUGGGAGAGCGGAAUUCUUGGUGUANCGGUGAAAUGCGUUGAGAUCAAGAAGAACACCGGCGGCGAAGGCGGCUCUCUAGAAUGUUACUGACACUCAUGCACGAAAGCUGGGGUAGCAAACAGGAUUAGAUACCCUGGUAGUCCCAGCUGUAAACUGUGUGCACUUGGUGUUGGCGGUAUUGACCCCGCCAGUGCCGGAGUUAACGCGUUAAGUGCACCGCCUGAGGAGUACGAUCGCAAGGUUAAAACUCAAAGAAAUUGACGGGGGCCCGCACAAGCGGAGGAGCAUGUGGCUUAAUUCGAUGCAACGCGAAGAACCUUACCUGGGUUUGACAUCGGAGAGGCUUGCCUCUAGCGUGUGAAAGCGCGUUAACUAGACAGGUGCUGCAUGGCUGUCGUCAGUUCGUGCCGUGAGGUGUUGGGUUAAGUCCCGCAACGAACGCAACCCUUAUGUUUAGUUGCCACCCCCGAGCAAUCGGGGCGCACUCUAGACAGACUGCCCGUACAAGCGGGAGGAAGGUGGGGAUGACGUCAAGUCCGUAUGGCCCUUACACCCAGGGCUGCACACGUGCUACAAUGGUCGGUACAGAGGGAUGCUACACCGCGAGGUUACGCAAAUCCCUAAAAGCCGGUCCCAGUUCGGAUUGCAGUCUGUAACUCGACUGCAUGAAGUUGGAUUCGCUAGUAACGGCGUAUCAGCUACGACGCCGUGAAUACGUUCCCGGGCCUUGUACACACCGCCCGUCACAUCAUGAAAGCCGUCUGCACCCGAAGUCACUGAACCAACCAGCAAUGGAGGGAGGUGCCGAAGGUGUGGGUGGUGAUUGGGAUGAAGUCGUAANCAAGUAACNCAGGGCGAAUUCGCGGCCNCAUC